ACAGACGCUACACGAGACCGCAGGAGACGGCGUUGGACGGGGAGAAUAUCAUUGGGCGGACGGAUGUCACUUCCACUCGUCAUCAAAAGCAUGCCGUGCCUACGUCAGGGAGCUGUGCCUGCUUCAUGAAGAUCUUCCACAGUGUGCUGUGACCUGGGAAGUUACCAUGCACCUGAACAUGGCUUUCAUCACCUGGAUUAGUUGUUGGACAGAGGAGCAGCCAGGACGUCCUGCCCUUUCCAAGCCGGUGGCGUCCAGCAGUGAAAGAAGAUGCGAUAUCUGGGCAGCCUGUAUUCAUUCUGUGGGCAAGUUAAUAAACCAUUUUAUUUUGA